ACGGAGCUUGAGAUAUCCCAAAGUUUCAAAGUUAAUUUUAAAAAAUAAAUGUCCCUCAGGGAAAUCAUGAUGGAAUACUCGAAGCAAGUGACGGGAUUAGGAAGAUGUUUGUUUCAGUUGCUGUCUGAAGGUCUUGGGCUAAGCACAGAUCACCUCUUUGACAUGGAAGGUGCAGACUCACUUUUAGUGAUCUGCCAUUACUAUCCAUCGUGCUCAGAGCCGGAGCUCACAUUAGGCACGACGAGGCACUCAGACAACGACUUUGCAACCGUGCUUCUGCAGGACAGCAAGUGAGGCAUCAGAACCAGUGGGUGGAUAUUCCUCCUCUACCAGCUGGUGACAAACGAUAAGUAUAAAAGCGUGGAGCACAGAGUGUUGUCGAGCAGGGCUGGGCCAAGAACAUCUGUUGCCAGUUUCUUUGGGGCCCAAGCUCACUCGUUCAUGGCCCGAUUAAGGAGCUGUUGUCAGAGGCGAACCCUCCCAGGUAUCGGCCUACCACAGCCGAAGAGUAUGCUCAGUAUUUCUGCAACAACUGCAUUGUUGCAUUUCCAACUGCAUAAUUAGCUGACUCUUGAAUCUGUAGCAUGAUGUUGAGUGCACCAAAAUAAUGUAGUGGUCUUUAUGGUUUGUGUUGUAUCAUCUUCAUUCAAAUGGCAUUCAUCAGUUUCUUCACAAAAUAUCUACCUAGCUUUCCCCCAAGACAGAAAAAUGAACCAAAAACAUAAAAACAUUUGAACAAACACUUAGUUUAGGUAAAAAACUGACAUAUAGGUUCAAAGGUGUAAAGAAAGCCAUAGGCAGCAAGUAAAGGAGAAACUAUUUUGAUGAAUUGAGCUUGAAAUGCGACAAUAAGGGGGUCUUCUCCAAGCCUUUUGCAUAGCGACAGGCAACAAUCUCUUCUCCCUUGGCGUCCCUAUAAAGCGGUGGAUUUUGUUGGGACAGCAGCUCCUUGAUGGGUCCAUACACCCUCGAGCUACUGCUUUCUUCGACGUGCAUUCUGAACACGAGCGCCACUGAAACCCGGGGGCCUACAUUCCUCGCCAACGCUCUGUGGUACACACUUUUGAAGGCACCGUUGGUGAUCAGCUGCAACACCCACAAAACAGAUUAUAUGAUCCUGUGUUGUUAAGACGUGUGUGUUUGUGCAGCUUACCUCCAUGAGAUCUCCGACGUUGACCAGGAGAGCUCCGGGAGAAGGCGGCACAUCAACCCAGCAAUCCUCGUGGAGAAUUUGCAGUCCACCGAUUUGGUCCUGCAGCAGAAGAGUGAGAAACCCACUGUCUGUGUGACUGGUGAAGCCCAGCGUCAUGUUGGGCUCCGGACACGCCGGAUAAUAGUUGCACGCCAGGAACUGCCCCUCCGCGCAAUCCAUCUCUAUCAGCUGAUUCCUCUCUAGUCCAAGACCUUCCGACAGCAGCUCAAACAGAAUCACUCCCACCUUCUUUGCUUGCUUCGAGUAUUCCAUCAUCGUAUCUCUGCAUCCACACCAAUAAGGUUUUAUUUAUAGCCAAAGCCACACCACGUCUAGAAUUAAUACAUACCUGCAGAGUUGAGGCAAGUGUUGAGGAUGAGGUGGAUUAGGAGCCAUGAUCAAAUACAGAGUAUCCCUCCAGCUUGCGGAAGGGGCUUGAUACAAAUCAAAAUUGCUGUUGAAGGCCACCUUCUUCUUGAUAUCGCGCGUGUAGUAGAGCUUCUUCUCCUCGGCGUCCAGUUCAUGAAACUCCUUCACGGCCUCGAUCACUUUGUUGGUCAAACUCGUGGGAAUUCCGUGAUUUACGAUCUUGAAAAAGCCCCAUUCUUGGCAAGCGGAUCUAACUUGAUCGAUAAUUCCACCGCCAUCCUGCUGGCUCAAGUCGAUUACUGGAAUACUUAGCUCCGAACUUGCCUUCUCCUCGUUUAUGUAUUGUUCGUGUAUGAAUAUACGAGGAAUCUUUGCGACCCCGGCUUCCACAAGCCCCUUCACGCCGGCUUUCGUAUUAUCAAAUGCUUUUAAUUCGCUGUGUCGAUCGUAUUCAGACAUGCUUGCUACCUGCACUUGGAGUUUGGAUUUUGGAUUAUGGCACCGAAAA